rnacentral:misc_RNA from 1 species
AAUUUGAAAUCAACCAGCUGUAUCUCAAAUUUCGAAAUUUCAAGGUUACUAAAAUUUCCAACAAAUAUUUUGAAACAGGGUCAGUUUCGUUAAGCUUUUGUAUCUAUUCAAUGUUUAUUUGUAAAAUGAAAUACAAGUGUAGAAGUUAAGAUAUAUGUUGGAGGGGUGCAGCAAGCUUUGCAGAAUUUAAAACAUGACUGUCGGACUUCUUGAAUGUCCAUAUGUAUUAAAUAUUUUCUUGUUUGGACAACAAGAAAGCAAAUGAACCAAAAAAUCCUCAUAAAAACUUCAACUUUGAAGCUCUGUACAUUUGAAUAAACAUGAUAAAAUUGUAAGUAAAAUAUGAUGUCUGUACAUCAUACCGAAUUUUUAAAAAAUGUAUUUAUAUGAUUCUUUGGUUUUUGGUGCUAUCUCAUUAAAGUACUUAGAU